GAGAAUCGACAGUCAGCAGACCAAUGGGAAGGAGCAGCCUGCCACCUCCCCCUCAGUCCCUGCGCGUCACCGCGGUUUCCUCGCACCGCUGCAGAGGCCUGUAUCUGCUCUCCUGUCACCCUAAAGGGCCUUGAGGGCACGUCCUCCCUACCCUCAAAACUUGGCACAAGGCCUGGCACAUAGUAGGGCUCCAUCACGUUCUAGUCGGAAGACCCUGGAGAGAUGCUCUGGCGCUAAUUCAAAUGUGUGGUGGGAAAAGUCCAGGUGGGCACAGAGGCAGUGAGGAUUUGCCGAGUCACACCACUUGAACCUGGAGGGAGAAGCAGCAACUGCUGCAGUUCUUUUAAGGUAAAAGUCAAGAAGACAAAUGACCCAGGCGAAGAGGGACAAUACGGGUCUGAGUCCCAAGUCUGCUCCCAGCUCCGGGUCCUUGGGCUGAUGCUGAAGCUGAAGCUCCAAUACUUUGGCCAUCUGAUGUGAAGGACUGGCUCCUUAGAAAACACCCUGAUGCUGGGAAAGAUUGAAGGCAGGAGGAAAAGGGUACGACAGAGAAUAAGAUGGUUGGAUGGCAUCACAGACUCGAUGGACAUGAGUUUGAGCGAGCUCUGGAAGCUGGUGAUGGACAGGGAAGCCUGGCGUGCUGCAGUCCAUGGGGUCGCAAAGAGUCAGACUGAGCGACUGAACUGAACUGAUUCAACUCUUCAUUAAAAAUUAUGAGGGGAUUGACUUUGAAGGCUCAAUAUAAGUCAUUUCACAAAAACAUAUAAGUUUUGUUUUGCUUUCUCUGUAAAAAGGGGAAAUUAGAUUUUCCUGCUUUAAAUGAAAGUGAAGGGUGAGUUGCUGGUCUGCAGCUUCUGGGUGAGGAGAAGUAGCAAGAAACCACAAAGCUGGAGCCAGUCAACCUUCAGUCCUUCCACCCCCAGGUGGGGGGUCCCACCUGCUCAGAGCUCUCCCCCUGCUGCUUUAGGGAGUUACCACAAAGUGCCAGCUCCUCAUCCAAGGUCUGAAACAUUGCCCAUCUGAAUAUUAAAUUAUAAAUUACCAAGAAAUGGGGAUUAGAGAUAAGAGAGACAUUCUUUUGAAGGACUCAGUGGCUUAGAGGACUAGGUUGAAGGUAUUUUGGCAUCCAUUAAAACUGCAAACAUCCAGGCCCCACCCCAGACCUACUAAAUCCAAAUCUGCAUUUAACAAGAUUUAACAAUUUAACAGGAUUUUUGCUCAGGUUGUUGAUUGUAAAUCAUCUCUUAAAGGAAAGGGCAAGGGCAAGAAAAGGCAGCUUAACAAAGGUUUAGGUUGACAGUGUACACCUGAGCUCUAUCAGGGCAUAAGAAAGGGAGUCUUGGCCAACAGAUUUGGAAUAUUAAGGCCCACAGGCAAGGUCAUCCCUACUGUGGAUGAGUGAGUUUGGAUAACCAGCCUGGUCCCCUUAAGCUUGCAAGUCAUCUGAUCAUUCCUUGCAGAAAAAUUGGUGCUCCCCAAAUAUUACUCCAUUUACCACCUGGCUUCUGCUUGGACAUAACAUGCCGGACAUACUGACGCAAAGGUUCAGAUGUAGCUGAUAGGCAUUUUUCUCUUUGUAAGCUAAACUGGCAUUCUUAUUUUAUAUACUAAUCAAACAAAAUCAGAUGAGGCCCACUUCUGACGAUGAUAAAUCAACCAGGGUGACAAUUAGACAGCCCGAUCCUGGGACCUGCCUGCCAGCAGGCCUCUUCGAACUAACCAUCCCUCAUCUCCAUCCCUCCUCUAUCUUUGAAUUUCUAGCUUAUUACUUAGUAAUUUGCAACUAAAGCCCCUGUACCACAAGUACUGAAGCCCGCACACCCUAGAGCUUGUGCGCUGCAACAAGAGAAGCCAACGCAGCGCUUCUCUCUCCAUGCAUCGAAAGGAAGAGUAGCCCUGCUCCCUGCAACUAGAGGAAGCCCGAGAAGACCCAGUGCAAGC
ensembl:lncRNA